GAUGUAGAGAAUUUUUCUCUAACAUAUCUCAUAUAAGCGUAUGAAAAUAUCAUCACUUUUGAUGAUCAUUAUCAUAUUGUCCCUCCACGCAUAUAUUCGUGCAUUCAAUCACUUGUCUUCUUUGAGACAUAUUAUGUACUGAUACCACAUACACUUCAAGAAUGAAGUAAGUUAGUCAUAUUUCAGACUUAUCAUAUAUUGCUACCACAUUCACAUCAUGGAAUGGAGUAUAUUCAAUGGGUCGGAUUUCAUGAUUUUCACCAAACACCCAUUAUUUUGCCGUAGCCAUUAUAAUACCAUCAAUAUAGUGUAUUGAGAUUCAAAAUCAAUAUCUUAUCCAUAUAAAGGUGUUUUAGACUCCCAAUGGGACUUUAAACCCAACAUCUUAUCAUUAUGAUGUAUCGAGACUCUAACUCAAUAAUUUGAAUCCAUCAUUUUAUCCUUAAUCAACAAUACAAUAAGUUCAAAUUUCUAAUACUGUAAAGUAUAAUAUAAAUUGUCACUCCCCCUUUUCAUUCAAAAAGAAUAAUUUUACGGUUUGAAAGGGUUUUCAUUAUUAAAGUGACAAAAGACUGAAAAUUUAUUUUGAAAAAGGAUUAUUUACAUUUUUAUUUAGAGUCGCCACUUGACAUAAUCCGGUGUGCCAAGUCACCUUUGAAAGAUCCUUUUCAAAAUAGUUUGACUCUAAAAACUGAUCUGCAAAAAGAGAUUCCGGUUAAGGAAUUUUGUUGACCGGAGAAGGUGUUAGGCACCCCUCGGUCCCGAGGUUCGACCACGGUCGCUUGGUGGAACGUAUUGACUAAUUUGACAUUAUGAAUAUAUAAACCAUACAAAAUCACACAAAACAAUCAAUCAAACAAACAAACAAAACAAAUCCAAAAUUAUAGUGUCCAGUCCGAUUAUUACAAUCUCGAAAUAGAAAAUGCGAAAUUAUAAACCUACUCUAUUCUAUGUCAAUUCUAAACUACACUCCAUUGCUUUCUCCAUCCGACAUUCCGGGCCUUGAUUGUGCGUCGUCUUCAAGUACAAGAUACUUCGGGGCAUUCCCCGAAUAAAUCAAUACAAAUCACUCAAGGCAUUACCCAGCCAAAUGAAUACAUAAUUAGUGCAGAAAAAUCAAACUAUUCAACAAAAUUUCAAACAUUCACGGAAUUUCCAACAUUCAACCAAAGUCACAAAUUCUAAACUUUGCCUACACAACCUAUGUUUGUCUAAACCAAUCGACGUAUCAUGUACUACUAAGUUCAAUUAAUGUUCAUUUCAAGUCAAACAACCAAUGAAUCAAACUAACCAAAGUUCACCAAUUAUGUCAAGUUUUCAAUUCUCACCCCCAAAUUAAUUUUAAUUCUCAAACGAAAUAUUUCACCGUGCAAUCUAUAAUCAAGGAAACCAACCACGAAUCAAAAUAAAUCACUAUUCAUCAUCAACAAGGAUCAAGCGACACAUGAUAUUCAAUCUAACACACCAAAUAUAAUAAACGAUGAGAUAAAAAAAAAGAAAAAGAGUAGAAUUGAACCUCAAUUUAAAGCUUUCUCAAUUCGAUGUAUUAUUUCGAUUAAAUCCGGUAGAGUCCGCGCCGAUGAACCUCGAAUCGAACCUCAACCAACCAACCCGAGCUCGAUAUACCUUUUUACUCUGCUUCGCCAACCCGAAUUAGAAUCGAGAAAGCAACAUGAAACUAGUACUAAAAUCCAUACACCUUUUUUGCUGUUUCUCUCAUUUUCCGACGGACCUCGCUGGAAUCAGGCAGAAUUGGGUCGAGCUCGAUCCUUUGGGGUUCGUCUGAUCACUGUUGUAGCGUCACCGGAGCUCCGGCGAGCUUAACAGUGGCGAUGCUAUUUUUCUCCUCCCUGAAUCCUCUCCCGUUCGAUCUCCCUCCUCUCUCUUCGUUCAAUCUCUCAGUUACUAGCUUCCACUCCCAUUUUUUCUCCGUUUCAGCGUGUGGGUGUGUGAAAUGGUGUUGUUGUAUGUGUGUGCUGAUUCUCCCUAUGUGCGUGUAUUCUCCCUGAGAAGAAAAAGAAUUUCAGUGCAAUGUGUGCAUAUAUCGUGUAUUUGCUGUGAACAUGAAAAAAAAAUGGAGGUUCCCCAGAUGCGUGUGUCCUCACUGUAUAUGCGUUUUGUGUGUGUGAAAAUUGAUGGGGAGUCGUGAAUAUUCCCAGUGGAUCCGUGUAUUUUGCGGAGAAGAAGAUGGUGUAUAUCUAUGGUGUGGGCUCCCCUUCAAGUUGUUGUGAUGUAUUUCUUUCUCCUCUUAUCUUUGUAUUUUUUUUUAUGAAAAAUAAAAUGUGAGGGAAAUUGGGUGGGGUGACGUGGAUAAUGAGGUGGGUAGGGGUAGUUAGGUUGUUAGGAUGAUUAAAAUAAGGUAAAAUUUGUUAGGAAUUUUGUUAAGGAUUGUUAUUUUUAUAUUUUUAUGGGGUAUAAUUACAUGGGUUAGGAUACGUGGUAAGGUAAAUUAAAACGAAUAAAAUUAAAUUUAAAAGGAAUAAAAUUAGGUAUCUACCUAAAUCUCUGAUUUAAAAAUAUAAGGAAAAAUGGACAAGACAGGAAACUUGUUUUGUCGAUUUUGGGACCAAAGCAUAUUCUAGAUAAAAGUUUACAGUGUAGAACCAUAUGUUCAAUGGUCAAAUUUAAAUAGGAGAAUAAUUCCUUACCGUAAUAUUCGAUAGUAUAUCUCCGUGAUUAACAUGUUUAAAUACAUGGCUGUCACUAAGUCUAAUGCAAUUCAUUAUAUUGAUGAGUAUGUAGGUUCCUCAUAAAUAUAGGCAAUAAAGUUAAUGUGAAAAUACCUACCUUUGGCAGAAAACAUUAUAUUAUUUUACCUCAUAAAAGAUUGAGACCACUUUGGGGAGGUGUGAACCAAACAUACCAUCGCCGAAACUCAAUAUCAUUGUCUAAACUCAAACAAAAAAAAAAAAUUAGAGACUCGUGUUGAUAAUAUGUUAUAAAAUAAAAAGAACAAGAGCAAGAGUAGAGAGAAUGGAGAAAGUGAUUCUUAUUUCUUCUCUCUUGGGGGAUGAGAGAUCAUCAGAUUGAGAAUACAAUAAACAAAUUUAUAGGAAAAAAUACUCCUAAUUUCUGAUUAAAAGUCAGAUGCUUCAAAUCCUUAUAGAUAUCAACUAGAUCACAUUCACUCUAUAAUGUAAAUAUAUUUAUAACAAUUUUGAAUUUAAAUGACCACUUUCUUAAUUAACUCCAAAUUGCUAUUACUAGAGAAAUAACAAACUCAAUUUUCACUCUGAAAAAAAAAAAAACACAGAAAGAUAGCACGGUAAAUUUUUUCAUGUUUAAGAUUUUAUAAUUUAAUUGAACAAAAAAGUGAGUCAACUAAUUUGGAUAAAGGUGUGGAAAGUAAUACAAACCUAUACUUUGAUUUUGCAAAAGAGAUGGACAACAAACUUGCUCAUAAUCAAAUGUGAUCACCUUAUCAUAAUUAAAAUUAAUAUAUCUUUUAAAUUUCACUUUUACCAUUAGAAAAAUAAAUUAUCGCCACACAAAUAUUUAAGAAUAGUUUAGGCCAAAAUGUCAAAAGUCCUUAAUUUGGUGUCACAUAACCUUAACCCAUGUUGAUUAUCAUCAAACAUUUGUCAGAGAUUUAUUUUACUAAACUAAUUUUAGGUUUAACUCACUAUUUUGAAUAAGUACGUCCUACUUGGCAAAUCGUGUGAGACACACUCGUCUUACAUGUCAAAUUGCGAUGAGAUUUGCCACGUAUCAUGCAUGUGUCUGCUUGUUUGACUUUGUUUUUGUUUAAGUUUCUACUUGUGCACACCUGAAGUUAGAGGGCGCAGAUAUCACCCGAAGCCAAGUUAAAGAAAAGUCAUGUGUUAUGCCAUAGAAUGGGAAAAGCUUAAAUUUCUGCCCCAAUUUCAUGGUAUUGUAAGCUUAAAGAUAUUACUCUCAAUCAAGCUCUUUAUUUGUUUUCUUCCUUGUUCUUUACUCCUUAAAAGGUGAAAUUUUAUGACUUGAAAUAGGAAGAUUCCUAUAAGGACUAUGAAUAGCGAAAAAGGUGAAGUCUUUACUCUUUAAGCACAACAACCAAAUAUGUGAGCUAUCGAUAAAUGUAACUCACUAAAUCUAACCUAACUCGUCCAUGUACCAACUUUUUAGAUUUUUAUGCAGUAAGAGUAGUAAAGUUGACACUCCUAACAUGGUUUUAUGUAUUAAUGUUGUAUAUUUUGUCGCAACUAAGUAAGACGUUAGCGUUUAAAAUUGGAAAAUAAGAAGCACCCAAAGGUGUGGCCCAGUGGUCAAUGAAGUGGUUGAGAAGCAUAAGGUCUCAGUGUUCAAAUUCCAGCUGACAAAACGCUAGGUGAUUUCUUCCAAUCUGUCGUAGCCUUGGUGGAUUGAGUUACCUGGUAGCCUUGAUGGACAGAGUUACCUAAUUAUGACUUGAAAUAUGAAAGAUGGUAACAAGUUCCCCGUAGAGACUAGGAAUAGUGAAAAAAGUGAAGUCUUGCUCUUUAUUAAGCACAAGAGCGACACAAUUAUGUGAGUUUUCUCACCAUAAAAUCAAAGCUGAGAAAUUGCCUGUUAGUCUUUUAGCAAUAUUCUUCAACAAUGUCUACACUUCUUCUUCCAAAAUCUGCAAAUAUGAUGUCUUUUUGAGUUUUAGAAGUGAAGAUACACGUAGAACCUUUGUGAGUCGUCUCUAUAAUGCUCUGGAACAAAGAGGAAUCCACACUUUCAAAGAUGAUGAGCGGUUGGUUAGAGGAAAAUCAAUUUCUACUGAACUUUUAAAAGCCAUAGAAGAUGCCAGAUUCUCAAUCGUGAUAUUUUCAAAAAGCUAUGCAUCCUCAAAAUGGUGCUUAGAGGAGCCUGCACACAUCAUAAAUUGCAAAAAUGAAUUGGAGCAGAUUGUGAUUACAGUCUUCUAUGAUGUGAGUCCAUCAGAUGUUCGCCACCAAAAUCCACCUUUCGCUGAGUCAUUUUUCCAACACGAGAACUGCAAAGAUGAUAUGGAGAAGGUUCAGAGAUGGAUGGAUGCAUUUGUGGAGGCAGGGAAAAUAUCAGGGUAUCAUUUACAAAAUUUCAAGCAGAUUGCAUCAAGAAGCUAGUUGAUGACAUGUUUCCUAAGUUGCUUCAAGUUAUUCCACCUUACCCUGAAAGCUUAGUGGGUAUGAAAUCGCAAGUUGAGAAAGUAACUUCAUUGUUAGAUAUGGGAUCAAAUGAUGUUCGCUCUAUUGGUAUUUGGGGUGUAGGUGGCAUAGGCAAGAUAGAGAUUGCAAGUGUUCUGUAUCAAAGAUAUCGUCAGCGAUUUCAAGCAGAUUGUUUUCUUGGUGAUGUUGGAGCAUUGCAUCAGAAAAAUGGACUAACAUGGCUAGCACAAGUUGUCAUUUGCAAGCUCUUUGGCGAAAAAAUUACUCUAACUAGUGAACAUGAAGGGGUUAUUAUUUUAAAGAAUAGGCUUCGCUGGAAGAAAGUUUUGUUCAUUCUCGAUGAUGUAAACCACCAAGAACAGUUGGAGUAUUUAGUUGGAGGACGCGAGUGGUUUGGUAUGGGUAGCAGAAUAAUUUUAACAGCAAGAGACAAGCACCUGUUAAUCAGUCAUGUUGGGGAUAACGUGUAUGAAGUCCAACUAUUACCAGAGGAUGAAGCUUUUAGAGAAAAAUCACCAAAAAAAGAUUUUAUGGUACUUUCAAGACAAGUAGUGGAGUAUGCUGGUGGACUCCCUUUAGCUUUGAAAGUUUUGGGUUCUUCUCUUCGUGGACGAAACAAAGAGCAAUGGGCAGCAGUAUUUGAUAGAUUGAAGAAGAUCCCUCAUGAUGACAUUCUAGGAAAACUAAAGAUUGGUCUUGAUGGGUUGAAGGAAGACGAGAUGAGGAUGUUUCUAGAUAUCGCAUGCUUGUACAAUCGUAGACCAAGACACGAUGUAGAAUGGAUAUUUAAGAGUUGUGGUAUUCACUUGAUAGGAAUAAACCGUCUCAUCGAAAAAUCUCUCUUAUCCACCAGAGAUGCCUCCAGUUUCUGUAUGCAUAAUUUGAUAAGAGAAAUGGGUGAAAAUGUGUCAAGGGAAAGACAGUAUGCAAGUAGCAGAAUAUGGCUUAAUGAGGAGGUUCAUGACCUUUUUGCUGGAAAGUUGAAAACAAAAAAGGUGGAAAGCCUACGCAUCCCAAAAGGUUAUCGUUUUGAAGAGGAUCAUGUAAAUCAUAGCAAGGUAUUCAAGAGGAUGCAAAGCUUACAGGUGUUGAUGAUAAAACUAUUUGCCCAGAAAGCAUUGUCACUUAUCUUCCUUCUAGCCUGCGGUGAAUUGAAUGGCCGGACUAUCCUUCAAGUUCAUCACCGGAGAGGUUUGAACCAUCACAUCUUGUUGGCCUUAGAUUAUCUAGAAGUUGACUUGUUGAACUUCGGCCAAUAUCAAAGAAAUUGAGCAACCUGAAGCAUUUGGAUCUCAGGGAGAGCCCUGGGUUAACAAAAACCCCUAAUUUUUGUGAUAUGUCAAACUUGGAGACGUUAGAUUUAAGGGGUUGUUCGAAUUUGGAAGAGGUCCAUCCCUCUCUUGGAUAUUUCAAAAUGCUUACUUCUUUGAUCUUGUUUGAUUGUGUCAAACUCGAGAAGCUUCCAAAAUUUGUUACCAUGGAAUCUCUCAAGUCUUUCGACCUUUUGAGAUGCACAGGUUUAAAAGAAUUUCCAGAAAUCUGUGGAGAUAUCGGGCGCUUAUUAGGACUGACCGUGGGAUCCCCCGGAUAAGAAGCUUACACCCGUCUCUUACCGGCUUUAGAGAUUUGACAUUGAUAGGUUGUGAAGUUCUUGAGAAUAUUCCGGAAGCUUUUCAAAGUCUUGAAUAUCUCCAUAUUUUUAAAUUGCAAUAAACUUGCCACGCUGCCAAACAGCCUCUUUGAAUUACAACAACUAGAGUAUUUAAAAUAUCAAAUUGUUCAGAUUGGUAGUGCUCCCAGUAUCUCUUGGAGUUCAAAAGAAGCUCAGUUAUCUAGAAAUAAAUAAAUGUGAGAAGUUAAAGAAGCUUCCAAGAUCUAUUCAGAUGGAAUCCCUUGAACAUCUCAGGAUAUAUGAUUGCCCAAAAUUAUCCAGAAGUCAACGGAGACAUGUAUCGCUUGAAAGAACUGUCUCUGAAUUCCACUGGGGUUAGAGAACUGCCUUCAUCCAUUGGGAAUCUAAGCGGGCUCAGAUAUCUCUAUCUAGAAGUUUGUGAAGAUCUUGUAAGUCUACCAAACAACCUAGGUAAUUUGCAGGAGUUAGAUACACUUAAGCUCAAGGGGUGAAAAAAGCUAGAAAAGCUUCCGAAAAACAUUGGAGAUCUGCAAGAGUUACAGAAACUCGAUGCAAGAGAAACUGCAAUCUCCCAGCUACCUCCCUCUAUCACCAAGCUUGGCAAACUGUGGACGCUAGACAUCUCGCCUGGUUUACAACAAACUUCUGUUUUCUGUCAAUCAUCAGUUUUAUCCUACGUGAAUGCAGUUGAUCUCAGUAAUCGCAAUAUUUUGAGUGGACUUCCCGAGGAUUUAGGAUCUUUGCAGUCCUUGAGAUACUUGCAUGUUAGUGGAAGUAAUAUUUCUUGUUUACCGGAAAGUAUCAAAGAACUCUUACACCUUGAGUAUCUGUACGUAGAAUUUUGUCAGAAUCUUAGUGAACUGCCUGGAGAGCUACCCCCAAAUUUAAUGCAGAUUAUCAUUUAGCCUUGAAGAGCAUCACUGAUCUAGUAAUUAAGUGUCUUAAGCUGUGUAUGAUCUGAAUACCACGGUGUGGUCAUGAAAAAUCAGAAAGCGAACAAGUGAAUGUGAUGAAGUUGCUACGACAUUUUCUCAGAACAUGUAUCCAGUGCGACUUCCAGCAAAGGGCUUAUUUUCUCAUUUCUUUUCCUGAAGUCAGAAUGCCAGAGUUGUUUGGUUAUCAGUUUAUAAAUCAAGAAAAGAUCUCGAUUAAUCUGAAUCCGUCUUGGUAUACCGAUAAAUUCAUGGUUUUUUCACUAUGUUAUAACCGUCCUGAUGUAUUUGAAGUGAGAUUAGUAGCUAAAUUAGUCUGCAAUUCUGACCCCGAAAGAAAACAUUCCUUGAACUAUGACAUCCCUGAUUAUUGGUUUGAGUCUCCUGUCAAGUAUUGCAUCUACAAACCAUUUGAAACGUUGUGGCAUGCUUCUGGUGAUAAAGGAAGGGAAGAACCCGAAUGAUUACUACCUUUUUGAGGUAUUUGAAGUGUACGCAAAGGAACUAUGCUAUGGAAUUCGUCUGGAAUAUGAGAAUACAGAUAGGAAAUGGAGAAGGAAGCAACGAGCAACGACAAGUCCCAAACUCUUUCCAGUUCCGCGAAAAGAUACUGCAGUAACAACUGAAAGUGGCUGCUCUAUGGUACUUGAGCCUUCUCCUACUAGUUCACAGGCGUCUGCUAAGCCUGACAUUGCAGUUCAGAAGGAACAGAAUGUCGAGCUGAUCAGAGAAUGUGGUAGCUCGUCAAGCAAAAUGGACGAUGCUUCAAAAAAGAGAAAGAGGAAGAUAUCAGGGACAGAUGAGAACAGCUUGCAUGACUUUGAUGGAUCUUGAGAGAUGUAACCUCUUAGUUCGCUGGCAAAAACGGUUACCUAAAGUAGAAAAUCAAGACAGCAUCGAUAAAAUUGUAUUGUAAGAACAAAGAAUCACAAUUACUGCAACAUCAAAGCAAACAAGUAAACGCUUGAUUCUUUGAGAGAUAGAAUGGAUCAAUGGUAAACUGAAAAACAAAUGGAACAUGGCAAAAAGGAGGAAACUGAAAGGUUGUUUCAAUAGGUACACACCAAAUUUCACCUCGACUCUGCAGUGAAAAUGAUGGACACGACUUAGGUGAAAGAUAAAGAAAAUCAGCUACAUUUGCCCUCUUACAAGCCCCCGCUUGAGGGAGUAUGCUCACUUUCUCAAAUGGUAUUUCGCAAGGUUUCAUUAUACUCCCAAUCGAAUUUUGUUACUGAUUUCCUGUUCUUACUAAUAAUGAACUUGAGCCUACAAGUUACAAGAUUGCAGAUAUAUAAUGGUGAUGGUGACAUUUCUUUUCGUACUCAGAUUGGUAAACUGAGACGAUUUUAAUCUGGAGACAUGGAAUCAUACGUAAUGGUGAAAUUUUACCUUAUUGGCGAGGACUCGAUCCUCACCUUGUAAUCUUCUCCCCUCCCCCACCCUUUUUUAAGCACAAUUACAUCUAGGGAAAUCAUAAACUUCAUACACAAUAGGGGGAUAUGAUAGAUUUUUUUUUAAAAAAAAAAGACUAAAGAAUAAUUGAUAUUGCUAUAAUCAUUUUUUCUUUUGCUUUUGUGCCAGCUCAAGAUCUAAAGGAGUCCCACAUAGGCACUCUUUUUCACAAGAGGACCGAGAAUUAAUGGUUUCAUGCCGUCAUCUGAACCUAGUACUUUCAAUAUGCAUAGAUUUGUGUGAAAAUUUAUUUAUAAAUCGCAACAAAUAUUAAAUAUGAAUCUAUAACUUUAAAAAGACAACACGCUAUAUGCUAAAAACUUUAAAGUUAAACCUAAAAAGCUUAAAUUCUGAAUACGCCUCCGCUUAGACCAAAAGCCACCAAAAUCAUACAACUAACUGAAGAACUGCACUUAUUGCCCAAAAAAAGUACUACUAUCAACUACUAACAUAAAAUCCUGAAUACGCUCCUCUGUCUAUCACACAAUAGUAGUAACAGAAUCGCCUUGAGAAACCGGAGUCUCGGGAUUAACAACACCAAUAUUACCACCACCACCAUUACGAUUUUCACCAUCGUUCUUGUUACUAUUAGGAAGCUUGAAAAACAGGUAAAAAUGAGAGCCAUCUUUUACACCAUACUCCGUAAGGGGAACUUCAUCACCAUUCAACAUAAUCGAAUCACCUCCGAUAUCCAACAUGAGAAUCAAACGAUUCUCCGGUAGCUUUUCUUGUUUGCUUAUUUCUCUCUUCAAAUCCGCAACAGUUGUUUUUUCGCUUACUUGAAUGUGAAACAAUGUCCCUGUUAAUAUUUCUAUCACUAAAUUCAUUUUGUUGCAAUGUGUGUUUAACAAUGUGUUCAUGCACAGAGAUAAAAAGAUUUCAAAGAGGUUGCAUUGUUGAAGGAGUUUGUUACAUUUGUAUUGCCUAAGAAAUAGGUAGUUUGUGAAAGGUCCUAUGAUGAAAAUGAAUGGAAAUCAAGUUGAAAGGAAAGGAAAAUAGGCAAAAAGAAAUAAAAGCUAGAGAAUAGGAGGCCCUCAAUUACUGUGAUCGCGGUCCUCAGAGUCACGAUUGCAGCCAAUCAACCAUGAAUCAGAAGACCCUCAGGUACCGCGAUCACGAUAAGAUGCUACACGAUCGUGGUGUAGCAGGAAUCCUCCAAGGGGAAGAAUUAUAAAUCCGCAUGGCUGAAUCUAAUAUUUAAAAGCUCAAACCCUUGCAAAAUAGGAGGAUCUUCCAACUAAUUUUUAGUUUGUAUUGAGAGAAACCCUUCAAAUUGUGAAAAGAAACAAUUGUUAUUAAAUCUCCAAGAGAUAGUUUUUUAGUUGUAAUGAGAUUAGAGAUUUGGGAUUAUUCUUGCUUUAUUUUCAAUGGAUGCAGUGGAUGUCAAUUUGGGUAA